CAGCCGCCACGGAAUACGGAGGGUGCAAGCGUUAAUCGGAAUUACUGGGCGUAAAGCGCACGCAGGCGGUCUGACAAGUCAGAUGUGAAAUCCCCGGGCUUAACCUGGGAACUGCAUUUGAAACUGUCAGGCUGGAGUCUUGUAGAGGGGGGUGGAAUUCCAGGUGUAGCGGUGAAAUGCGUAGAGAUCUGGAGGAAUACCGGUGGCGAAGGCGGCCCCCUGGACAAAGACUGACGCUCAGGUGCGAAAGCGUGGGGAGCAAACAGGAUUAGAUACCCCUGUAGUCCCUGUCUCUUAUACA
rnacentral:rRNA from 1 species